CUAAACUCGCUAAGCGGCGGCGCAGUAUCCUAGUCAGGACUGCCGUCUCUCAGGGAGGGCCUAAAAAUCCUCUGAAGGGCAUAUCGAUGAAACCCGUGGUGCUUGCUUGAAACGCCCAGUUUUGGGUGGGUGCUGGGGGGAAGCGUGAUUUCACGCUUGCGGACUCAGGGCGAUGAGCAAUGGCAUGGUCAACCCGACCCUGUUUUCGUGGAGACCUGUUCUUGUGCGCGGACGUAAUCCCAUGUGGUAUCCGGCCCGCGUACGAAACAGAUUAGGAACCUGCAAUGCGGUGCAUCGGGCGUUCGCGCCCGUAACGCUGUGUGCAGAUGUAGCCUGCCUUGCGUGGGCGGGGUGGAUGAAGGAUUCAGGCAGCUUUGGCUCUGGCCAGAGUAAAACUGCUAUCGCCUUCUGAAACCCCGGCUGCAAAAGAGGCUAAAGAGACGGACAGACUGAGGUGGAAAUCACCUAGGCUGUCGUAAGGGCAGAAAAGGGAUUACAGUGCGGACUAAGUGGCAGUCGGGUCGCGCGGACGGUGACGCCGCGACGCAGCGCCGAAAGGGGAACCGCCUCUAUCGGUAACGAGAGGUGCGCUGCUGGGAAAUCCAACCCGGACCUAAGCCGUAAGAUUAACCUUUUUUGCCGCCGCUGACUUAGUAAAAUGA
rnacentral:sRNA from 1 species